CUCAAAUAACAAUGUGACUGCAAUCUGGAUAUAAAAGUUGCAAGAUUAGAAAGCUAAUACAUUCCCUGAUUUCAGUCAGUAAAGAAUGCUGCUUUGUGUGUGUGUGUGUGUGUGUGUGUGUGUGUGUGUGUGGUUACAAAAGUUGGAUGUCGAGCAGUGGCACUUACGCAAGGUCUAUGGUCCUUUGGAGAAUUGAGA